GGGCAGUUAGCUCAGUUGGUAGAGCGCCGCCCUUACAAGGCGGAUGUCGGGUGUUCAAGUCACCCACUGCCCACCA
rnacentral:tRNA from 1 species